rnacentral:lncRNA from 1 species
GAGGGUAAUAUGUAGACGAGCCUUACCCCUACCCGAAAGGGCAGAGAGGCUGUUUCCAAUCGACCCUCGGCGCAUAGGAAAUAGGGAAAUCAGCUGUAAAACAAAAACAAAAACAAAACCAAUAACAAUAGAGCAUUAGUAUCACCCGCAGAAAUAGCGGAAAUAAUUAUCUAAACAUAAGGAACCUAAAUACAAUCGCAUGCAAUAAUAUCAUACAGUAACUACGAAGAACUCUAGGAGCCNN